AAAAUUUUAAGUCAAUAAGACUAUUAACCUUCAAAGUUAAAAGUGAAAUAAAUAUUUCAAAUUUUA
rnacentral:tRNA from 1 species